rnacentral:rRNA from 1 species
AGAACGAACGCUGGCGGCAGGCUUAACACAUGCAAGUCGAGCGCCCCGCAAGGGGAGCGGCAGACGGGUGAGUAACGCGUGGGAAUCUACCCAGAACUACGGAAUAGCUUCGGGAAACUGGAAUUAAUACCGUAUACGCCCUACGGGGGAAAGAUUUAUCGGUUCUGGAUGAGCCCGCGUUGGAUUAGCUAGUUGGUGGGGUAAUGGCCUACCAAGGCGACGAUCCAUAGCUGGUCUGAGAGGAUGAUCAGCCACACUGGGACUGAGACACGGCCCAGACUCCUACGGGAGGCAGCAGUGGGGAAUAUUGGACAAUGGGCGAAAGCCUGAUCCAGCCAUGCCGCGUGAGUGAUGAAGGCCUUAGGGUUGUAAAGCUCUUUCAGUGGGGAAGAUAAUGACGGUACCCACAGAAGAACGCCCCGGCUAACUUCGCGCCAGCAGCCGC